rnacentral:rRNA from 1 species
GACGGAGGAUGCAAGCGUUAUCCGGAAUGAUUGGGCGUAAAGCGUCCGCAGGUGGCAGUUCAAGUCUGCUGUCAAAGACCGGGGCUUAACUUCGGAAAGGCAGUGGAAACUGAACAGCUAGAGUAUGGUAGGGGCAGAGGGAAUUCCUGGUGUAGCGGUGAAAUGCGUAGAGAUCAGGAAGAACAUCGGUGGCGAAGGCGCUCUGCUGGACCAUAACUGAUACUCAGGGACGAAAGCUAGGGGAGCGAAUGGG